GGGAGCUUGAACUGUCAACCCUCUAGAUCUAACUAUCCAAGCCGUGUUGCAUCCUCUCUUUUCAAUCCGGGAUCCGGAGGUGCCUCUCUUUCCAACCUCUAAAUGAGUCAUGGUCAAAUCUUCAAGUACAGGGCAGCGAGAUCGAAGAAGAAAGGUUUUCCAUGGGUUCAUCUUGAUGAGCUUCAAUAUGGAGGAACUUGAGACUUGGGAGAUAUUCGGAUCAUAAUAUCUAUGAUCCUAUGGUUUCCCAAGUCUCACGUUCCACCAUAUGUCUUGAUUCAUCCCUUUCAGAUAAUGAAUCAAUGGAAAUCCUUGUUUUUCUCACUGCCCUCUACCUGAAGAUUUGAUUAUGACUCUCUUGGAGCCUUUCAAGGCCUUCUAGCUGACCCAGAGCGUCAUCACUCAUCACCCUGACCAUUCGUAGCACCAUGGUUUACUUUGGAUAAGAACAAAAGUAUAGUCGAAUAACUUGUUGUAUAUAUUGGAAUUUUCCUGGGCUGUACUAUUCGCUGUGUUAAUUGACUGUUGGUUGAGCUAACAUGUGAGCAACCUGCUUCAAUUGCAUAUCGAUCAGUUGUAAGAAAUUUGAAGCAUUUAUUUGGUAACCAAGUGAACUAAUGUAGC
rnacentral:lncRNA from 1 species